rnacentral:antisense_RNA from 1 species
ACAAUGAUAUUCCACUGGAAAAAGGGCCAAACCACCUGAUCAUAAGAACAUCAUAUUAAUAUCCUGCCGGGUAGCAUCCCACACUGCCCAGAUCCCUCCUGCCCAUACCUCACCUGCAACAAGGAUCACCCCCAUUGCUGGACAUCACAUCCAACACUGGGCUUCAAUUAGUGGGCUAAACUCCCCUCUCCAGGCAGCCACCCAGCAACACACUGAUACCAUCCUUCUCCUCUGCCAAGUCCGGUACCAGUGCCUCCAGGAAAACAACUCUGAAGUCCAACACCCACUGCUUCAAAACCCAAACCCUGAUUAUAGCUCCCCUAUUCAGCAGGAAGC